UGACCCAAACCCUCACCAGAGUAGCAAUUGGAGGGCAAGUCUGGUGCCAGCAGCCGCGGUAAUUCCAGCUCCAAUAGCGUAUAUUAAACUUGUUGCAGUUAAAAAGCUCGUAGUUGUAUUUUUGCGUUGACGGUUUGACCAUUUGGUUGGUUAUUUCGUUUUCGCUUUUGGGAAUUUCCCUUUUUACUUUGAGAAAAUUAGAGUGUUUCAAGCAGACUUUUGUCUUGAAUACUUCAGCAUGGAAUAAUAGAGUAGGACUUUGGUUCUAUUUUGUUGGUUAUUGAACCUUAGUAAUGGUUAAUAGGAACGGUUGGGGGCAUUCGUAUUUAACUGUCAGAGGUGAAAUUCUUAGAUUUGUUAAAGACGAACUACUGCGAAAGCAUUUGCCAAGGACGUUUCCAUUAAUCAAGAACGAAAGUUAGGGGAUCGAAGACGAUCAGAUACCGU
rnacentral:rRNA from 1 species